GCCAACGCACUGCGGAUAAUUUCGUUGUAUAUUUGAUAUUGUGUGAUAUUCACGAUAAUGGCUAUUAUAAUCCCCGUAUUCUUGUCACUUUGGGUGCUUCUCAUUUCUUAUUUGUGACAAAUCAGGUUCUCCCUCGAAAUCGGGUCUCUGUUAGGACACCAAGAGAUCUCAAAUUAAUUGUAAUAGGUACAUAAAUAAAUAAUAAUAAUUUAAUAGAUUAGCCAUUUUUUACAAGUAAUAAAUGAAAUGCACAGGUUGAAUAAUUAAUACUAUCAUUCAAUUAUUUGAUUUACUUAAAUUAUAUGUUAAGUUUUUUUGUGCUAUUUUUAAGUUGCAUUUAAGUUGAUAGCUUGUCAUUUCUGGUCUUUGAAAUUUGUUUUCUUUUCAAAUUAUUUAAUUUGAUUCUAUAUAUUGGAAUUGUUUUGUAACCUUUUUAUGUUUUAACUGAUCCAUGUUUCUCUUUGUAUUACAGGUAAAAAUCAUUGGUGAAGUCACCAGAUGUGGAUGGCGUGUAUGUUGUUCGACAUUGCAGCGUGCUGAUGAGUUAAUAAAGAGGCAGCAAAAACCUGGGAUCUGCAUUGGCCCUGUCAAGUCUGGAGAGUGUUUUUACCAUUUAAUGAAUUAAAUUGUAAUAAAAGUUUUUAAAUGGA